CAGUCGCCACGGUAAUACGAAGGGUGCAAGCGUUACUCGGAAUUACUGGGCGUAAGGCGUGCGUAGGUGGUGGUUUAAGUCCGCUGUGAAAGCCCUGGGCUCAACCUGGGAAUUGCAGUGGAUACUGGAUCACUAGAGUGCGGUAGAGGAUAGUGGAAUUUCCGGUGUAGCAGUGAAAUGCGUAGAGAUCGGAAGGAACAUCUGUGGCGAAGGCGACUAUCUGGGCCAACACUGACACUGAGGCACGAAAGCGUGGGGAGCAAACAGGAUUAGAUACCCCGGUAGUCCUGUCUCUUAUACA
rnacentral:rRNA from 1 species